GAGUUCCCAGUAAAGAUUGGUUAUCCCAGUACGUGGAUGAACGAGUUAAGCUGAGGUUGCAAAGCUAAAGCUGCUAUUGCUUAUGCUGCUUACCUCAGACCCAGACGAGGGGAGAGACGGUGUUGUCGCCGGAGAUCUGCACAUACCUGAGUUGAGGACGACCCAGGAUAGUGGAUAGUCCGUGCUUUCUUUUUCUCCCUGCUUAAUCGCUUGGACCGUGACGGUUUUGUUCCCAAGAAACUGUCUGAGUGAAGGAUGGCAGAAGACCAGCCCAAUAGCAGCAGGAAGGAGCUGCAAGGGGAAUGAUUUGCAACAGACACAUUUGGCUGACUGACUUUUCUCAUUCAGAAGCAGCCAUUGACUGUGUUAUGCUGAGACGACCUGGUUCUUACCCAGACUCAUCUCCGACUGAUUGUUCCAGUUCCUACCUCGCUUCUCGGAUUAUAGAAGAUACCUGAGGGUUUCCAACCUGCAACCAAGCCAUGGAUCUACCGGACAAAUUCAUCAGCUGGCCGCUUCCAAGACUUCUACCAUCAAGGAUAACUAGAGCGAACCCUGUCCACCCUCCACCAUGUCCAACAACCGACACAGACUCUGUAGAACCGGACACUAUCCUCCUGGAUCAAGUUACUAGAGACAAACCUCAUACUUACCUUUGUCGACCUCAGCCGCUUCCAGUUCCCCACGUACUCUCCUCCUGGCGGUUCACACCCCCCGAUCUAGUAAUAUACAGUUUCAGUCAGUAUUUGUUCCUCAAGUAAACCAUUAUUCACGUUUUGUUUUUCUCUCACACAGUUGGCGAGAAUUCCUACCGGUACAGACCAAAUAGCUACGUUCUUCUAAAUAAACCUGUUAAACCUU